rnacentral:rRNA from 1 species
CAGCCGCCGCGGUAAUACGUAGGUGGCAAGCGUUGUCCGGAAUUAUUGGGCGUAAAGCGAGCGCAGGCGGUUUGAUAAGUCUGAAGUUAAAGGCUGUGGCUCAACCAUAGUUCGCUUUGGAAACUGUCAAACUUGAGUGAAGAAGGAGAGAGUGGAAUUCCAUGUGUAGCGGUGAAAUGCGUAGAUAUAUGGAGGAACACCGGUGGCGAAAGCGGCUCUCUGGUCUGUAACUGACGCUGAGGCUCGAAAGCGUGGGGAGCGAACAGGAUUAGAUACCCGUGUAGUCCCUGUCUCUUAUACA